rnacentral:tRNA from 1 species
GCUCUCGUAGUUUAACGGAUAGAAUACGGCCCUGCGAAGGCUGUGAUGGCAGUUCGAUUCUGCCCGGGAGCGCCC